rnacentral:rRNA from 1 species
UACGAAGGGGGCUAGCGUUGCUCGGAAUCACUGGGCGUAAAGGGUGCGUAGGCGGGUCUUUAAGUCAGGGGUGAAAUCCUGGAGCUCAACUCCAGAACUGCCUUUGAUACUGAGGAUCUUGAGUUCGGGAGAGGUGAGUGGAACUGCGAGUGUAGAGGUGAAAUGCGCAGAUAUCAGGAGGAACACCAGCAGCGAAGGCGGCGCUCGUGGGCUGGAACUGAACGCUGAGGAGCGAAAGCGUGGGUAGCAAACAGG